rnacentral:rRNA from 1 species
UGGGGAAUAUUGGACAAUGGGCGAAAGCCUGAUCCAGCCAUGCCGCGUGUGUGAAGAAGGUCUUCGGAUUGUAAAGCACUUUAAGUUGGGAGGAAGGGCAUUAACCUAAUACGUUAGUGUUUUGACGUUACCGACAGAAUAAGCACCGGCUAACUAUGUGCCAGCAGCCGCGGAAAUACAGAGGGUGCAAGCGUUAAUCGGAAUUACUGGGCGUAAAGCGCGCGUAGGUGGUUUGUUAAGUUGGAUGUGAAAUCCCCGGGCUCAACCUGGGAACUGCAUUCAAAACUGACUGACUAGAGUAUGGUAGAGGGUGGUGGAAUUUCCUGUGUAGCGGUGAAAUGCGUAGAUAUAGGAAGGAACACCAGUGGCGAAGGCGACCACCUGGACUAAUACUGACACUGAGGUGCGAAAGCGUGGGGAGCAAACA